rnacentral:rRNA from 1 species
AUCCAUAGCUGGUUUGAGAGGAUGAUCAGCCACACUGGGACUGAGACACGGCCCAGACUCCUACGGGAGGCAGCAGUGGGGAAUCUUAGACAAUGGGGGCAACCCUGAUCUAGCCAUGCCGCGUGAGUGAUGAAGGCCUUAGGGUUGUAAAGCUCUUUCAGCUGGGAAGAUAAUGACGGUACCAGCAGAAGAAGCCCCGGCUAACUCCGUGCCAGCAGCCGCGGUAAUACGGAGGGGGCUAGCGUUGUUCGGAAUUACUGGGCGUAAAGCGCACGUAGGCGGACCAGAAAGUUGGGGGUGAAAUCCCGGGGCUCAACCUCGGAACUGCCUUCAAAACUAUUGGUCUUGAGUUCGAGAGAGGUGAGUGGAAUUGCGAGUGUAGAGGUGAAAUUCGUAGAUAUUCGCAGGAACACCAGUGGCGAAGGCGGCUCACUGGCUCGAUACUGACGCUGAGGUGCGAAAGCGUGGGGAGCAAA